rnacentral:rRNA from 1 species
AGUGAACGCUGGCGGCGUGCCUAAUACAUGCAAGUCGAACGGAGUGGCGCACGGGUGAGUAAUAUAUAGCAAAUCUGCCCCUUGCUGCAGGACAACAGUUAGAAAUGACUGCUAAUACUCCAUAGCAAGGGAUGAGACUAUAUCGUAUCAGCUAGUCGUGGGGGUAACGGCCUACCUAGGCUAUGACGCGUAACUGGUCUGAGAGGAUGAUCAGUCACAUUGGAACUGAGACACGGUCCAAGCUCCUACGGGAGGCAGCAGUAGGGAAUAUUACGCAAUGGGGGAAACCCUGACGCAGCAACGCCGCGUGGAGGAUGACUGUUUUCGGAGCGUAAACUCGUUUGGUUAGGGAAGCGUUACCUAACGAAUAAGCACCGGCUAAAUCCGUGCCAGCAGCCGCGGUAAUUC